AGAAAGCAUUCAAGGGACAUGCCACCGAAGGUGACAGUGGGGGAGAAAGUGGAGCAGAGGUAUGGGAACUCCCUGACUGGCUCCAGGUGGAAGGAGGCUGCAAUGGUUUAUUUACUGUAAUCAUUGCACUAGGAAAAGGCAAUGAAAUGAAACAUCUUGUUUUCAAGAGUGUCCUGGGAACCAGACGGAACACAGCCCCAUUAAUCACACAACGGCACAUAAUCAACACACGUGUACUGCAGAAGUAACUCGCUUCACAGGCUUUACCCAGGAAAAAGAACAUGUUUGGGAAGAAUCACCGGAGGGACGAGUUUUCUAAAGCCUCUCUCAGCGCAGACACCGACAACCAGACUCAUUCACAAAGCUCCAUCUUUUGGCUCAGCCGGGUUUGGCUGUCAGAAAUGUUUAAAUAUGGAAAAAAAUAAACAGUUGCAACACGUUUCUGUGCAGAGAUCUGCCUGAGCUCCUUUGUGAUGUAAUGGGAAACGCGGCAUUCAGGCUACCAGCUGUAGAAUAAACAGAACUUCGAGGGUUAAAAGGAACUGAACUUUCCACGACCCCAUCUGCAGAGAAGAAAAUAAUAAGAGGAAUGAUGCACUGCCCCACAGCCCUGAUAGUUUAUCCUCCGGUCCCGGCUGCAGAGACAAGCACCGGAUGUGAUAGGGCUGCUCAGGGCCGCCUCCGAGGUUAGUGCUGCCCAUGGGAGACGCACAGGGAGGCUCUUCCAGUUCCCCGCUUCCUCCCCCAGUGCCCUGCUGGCCACUUGAGCCCGCUGCCUGAGUCUGAUCCCACAGCACUGGUGAGCUUUGGCCAACAGGCACUGCUCGGCUGCAGAGCAGCAAUUUGGAAAAUAAACAGGAAAGACGACAGUGAGAAGGAAGAAGGUGAAAAGUCUCCCAGCUGAAUUCUUGGCUUGGGGGCCCUGGUUGGUGCGUGCAGGUCAAGGCUGCUGCAGGACAUAGUUGGGGGUUGGGGGUGGUGUGGGCAGCAGCAUCCCCAGCCAGAGAGAGGCGGCCGAAAAUUACCCACGGCUGCCACAGUGGGAGGCCCCACAUCCCUCUCUCAUCCUCCCACCCCUACCAUCUUGGAUCCAAGAUGAAGAAAUAUGUGGUACCAUGUGGUUCUCAUUACCAUGCUCUCCUGUCCCCUAAGGCUCAGAUAAACCAAAACUGACUCCUCCCAGAGACUGCUGGCCACCACUAGGGACCCCUGCCCACAUACGCCUUUUUGCCCAUUACCACCCACCUUGUACCAAAACCUUGAGACUCACUGCAAAAAUAAGGUGGACGAGAAUCCCUACCUCAAUGUUGAUUUGUAAGAAAGCAGCUGAUGCCAAAAGACACAGGGAGUGCCCAGAGUUCCCAACUCAGAAAUAUAAAUAAAAGUGGUCCAAGAGCCAAGCUAGACUGUGCAGAACCAAGGAAAUACACAAAAUGCUUCAAUGAGAGGUCACUUCUGCUCUGGUUAAUUCAAAUUGGUCUUGUGCUCUGAUUGUGAGUAGCUGCCUUCUUCUGGUGUUUCAGUGGGAUCACCCAAACUCAGUUCACAUUCAUAUCAUCAGUUAUCUCCUUUCAUCGAACACCACAGACAUGAACACAACACAACUACCCAGAGACCCAUGGGCGACACAGUGACUCUCUACAGGAGUGAGGGAGUGUCAGGAAACUCAAAGGAAGAGGUGCUUUGAAAAACCAGGAGAGGUUACCCAACUGCAGCAUCCUCUGACAGAUUAAGGUAUGCCAGGUGAGACACGUCACACCACAAUAAUCUACCUUCUUGCCCAGAACUCAGAAAGGCAGUCUGCCAGCUUCAUAGGGAAGGAGUCAGGCAGGACUUUUUCUGAAAGCUCCACUGGGGCAGGACUGAGAGGAGGAGAGAGUCUGAAAAGAGUGGAGCACCAACGCCUGACCAAGACUCAGUCCAUCUUCCUGGCAAGUCUAAGGAGGAUGAGGCACUCACACACUCCUUCAUAUUUUACUGGGGGAACAAGCUGACUGGUGAUUAACAUCAAGUACAAUGACCCCAUGUUACAAGCCUGCUGGGGCCUGUGGAGGUGGCCAUUUCCUGUGUAAUACCAGCUUGUUUAAACACUAACAUUCAAACUCCACAGCUGCAGAACAAACCCGGAAAGAGUUGAGUGAGAAGAAGCCGUGCAUUGUGUUUCAGAGCUAUGGAAGAUCAGAGAAGCAGUACAGAUGGGAAACAAGUUGGGUCUUCUGGUUCCUGGAGUGAGGAGAUCUGGAAAUACAGCCAAGAUGGCACAGAAGCUAGGCACAAAGAAGCUGAAAAAGAGGACACCCAUGUGGUACAGACACAAAGACAAAUGGCUGUAACAAGAGAACCACGCCUAAGACAUGCAAUAUCUGCCUUUUCAAACGGUUUCCCUGUGGGCCAUUAUAUCCUAGCCUACAACUGUCCACGCAGGGGUCAGAGGCUAACAUAAGACCACUGUUGCCCUGGAGAGCUUCUCACUCCACUGGAGAAAACUGCAGGAAUUCAGCAGCUAAUAGCAGAAAUGGACUUGAAUCCAAUAAGUGUGGCAGAGUUAAAAGAAUAAUACCCGGGCUUGAAAUGGCUUAGCAUGCCUCUUGGAAAGCCAAGAUGUCAUGCCAACUCUGUUUGCAUUGGGCGAAGGAUUUGAUUCUGGUACCUCAGUGCUAGGUAGCUCAAGAGGCCCUGGGCUGGGCUGGAGAUGGGGAGAAUUCUAUGCGGCUCCUGGAGAUUUCUAGCAACAAUGUGUCAUCCAGAUGCCACAUGAUACAAAGAAGAGACAAAGGUAUCAAAGGCCACCAUUCCAGGAGUUAAGAUAUGAGCAGCAAGACACCAUCCUCUAAGAAUAAGAGAUGUUUGCUGGGUGACCCCUAAAGAGACCAGACUUAGAUGAAGAGUCAACACAUGGAAGCUCCCUAAGGAAGUCAGCUUACUGCAUACGCCCUACGUAUCCCUCUUUCUCCCUAUGUGACAAGACCUCAGAGGGCUCCCUACGACCCUUCUCCAGUGUGCUCUGUAGACUAUGGAAGACGAUCCAUGGAAAAGCAGCAAGUGUUCCACAUGUGCCUGCUGUUGUGGUUUUGACUGGAAGGAAGAGGAGCAUGGGCAAAGAGGAGAGAACCAAGGAAACUCAAGAUGAACCCUGGAAUUCCCCUCAGAGAGGGGAAGAUGCUGUGCAAUGAUUCUCUAACUGCAUAAGGAAAGAGGGUUCCAGAGGAUCCUGAAAACUCAAGAAGAGUAACAACUCACCAAACAAGAUCCAAGUAAGGGGGAAGAAACUCAGGACUGCAAAACACCUGGAGGGAGAGAGCUCCACGAGGAUCCAUGCCAUCAUGGCACUUUGGGAGGCCUGUCACGAGUUACACAGGCCUAGGCUGCCCACACCCCAGCUCAGCAGAAAAAGAGAACUGCAAUCCAAGUCAGACAGAUCCUGCCUGGACUCUCCGCAGAGAGCCUGGAGAGUCUGACCAGCAAAGAAACAGCAAUCUUCCUACCUACCCCACUCUCAAUCCCCCCCACCCCAAUCCAGGCUCCCGAAGAAGAAAAACAAACAACAACAGAGCAGGCAAUUGCACAAGAGCUGCAGAGUGAAGGCGAGGUGGACGGCAACGGCUUCUCGGCUGUGCCCCGUAUCUCUUCCCAGAACACUGAUGACAAAGCUGGAGACGUUACUCACAUGCUGAGCCAGUCAGCCCCUCACCCAGGGCUGGUGCUGAGAAGUCUGACUAGAAACCGGCAGUCAACGCUGACACACUCAUUUAUAAUAAAAGGUGUAUAUUAAACAAACUAGUCAAAUCCUUAAACAAAAAGUAAGGGCAAAAUGUGACUGUCAUUCUUAAUUGUCCAUGCAAAAUCCUCCCGGUUAAAUUCCAUGUGUCUCCUGGACUUUGAUAAAUGUUAUUUCUCCUCUCAAGAACAUGAACAGAGAUACCGCUGUCGAAGUAGCUCUCUUGGAAAGAAACCUGAUAAGAAAACCUGCUAUGGCAGGUGAGUGAAACCUGUGACGGACACCAUUUUGGGGGAUGACCAGACUGGAACAUAAUAUUUCACUGAGGCAGAGGGGUCUGUGGUUACUUUCUGCAUGCCACAUGUCUAGCCCUAAAGAACUGAGGAAUGCUCUCGACAGGAAAAACACAGCAGCCAAUGCUGCGAUACCAAAGCCACAACUCCACGGGGCCCUGGAGCCUCUCAAACUAAGCUGCCAGCUAGGGAGCUAACACUAGCUUUGGAUAAAACACAGCUCUGGUACAGUAAUUAAUUUUUUUCUUAACUAGGAUUACAUUAAUUUUCAAGGACUAAUGGAGUCCAGCUGUAAUGUGAAGAGUGGCUGCUGAUGCACAAAGGCACUUGUGCGUACAUUAUAAACACACACACACGCGCGCGCACACACACACACAGACCUAUAAAAAGGAUCUACUAUAACAGGAUAUUUUUAGUUUCUACAAUGCUGCACUAAAAAUACAGUCCCGGCUGAUACAUCAUGGCAGAACUAUUCUCUCUCUGUCCCUUCAGGAACAGUUUAAAACAUUUAUUUUUGUUUCCUUUUGCGAUGGUCAGAGUAGAGAGAGAAAAUAGCAACUCAUUGAUAAGAGGAAACGAGACAGACAUGAAAAAUUGAAAACUACCUAAAAACUCAUGGAGAGGUUUAUUUUAUUAGUUCUUAAUAAAUAUCUUGCAGAUUUCCUCAGGAAAUACACCAGAUCACAUGUAAAAUAGUUUGAUACUGAUGUCAACUGCAUCAACAUAUGAAGUCUAUUAGGGUGAAGCCGCAGCAGGGUGAUCAGCGUGCUGAAAAACUCCACAGUACUUGUGUGUGUGGGGGGGGAUCUCACGGCCUUCCAAAUUCUUCGAGAGGUAAAAAAGUCAGCCAAGACGCAGAGAGAGAAAGAGAGAGAAAAAAAGAUCCCACAUCCUGCUUUCAGCUGCCAGCAAUGUGAAGUGCCCAGAGAUUAAUUCUACGUCUGGCCUGGAAAUGCGA
rnacentral:lncRNA from 1 species